rnacentral:lncRNA from 1 species
UUUUUUUCCCAGUAUUUUUCAUUAGUGGUGUUCAAAUCCGAGAAUGAAUCUGAAGGACCAUUCCUCUGUUGUCAGGGUGCCUCUGCAAAGUAGAUAGCAGUAGUUCUCCUUAGUCCACACUGGAAGUGCUACCUGCAUAAGGGAUUUCUUCUAUGGGACUACACUCUUAAUCUUGCAAAACUGACAAGCUCAUUUUGUUUAAUUUUUCCAUAGUCAGAUCAAAGGAACUUUUAAAAUGUUUUCUUGGUACAUUAGCACUAUGAAAUUGCUUCUAACUGUAUUGGCCAAUUAGCAACUCUUUAAUCUGCUAUAUUGUUUGUCAAGGCAGUGUGACAGAAUGACAGGCUACCAUACUAAUUAGCUAGCUCCUGCAUAAGUUGAAAAUUGCUCUUGUUGGACAAAUAUUUUAAGUUAAAGAAGGAGGGACCUGGAAGUCUGGAAAUAAACUUAGUCAUGCAAGGAUACAUCAAAGAGGACUGAGUGGCUCAGGUAAUUGGUAAUGGGAGGAAGGACCUUUCACCUUUUUGUAAUAAAUCAGAAAACUUAUUGAGUGGAAUGGAUAAGAUAAAUGUUAAAAGCUUUAAAUGAGCAUAGGGUUCAAAGUAUUGGUUCAUGAACCUCAUUUUGUGCUAGCACAAGUUGGGCUUACGUAGGAUGGCGAUGUUCAUUUAGUUUGAGGAGCAGCUAACCCAUAUGCAUGCACCUGCCACCUCCUUUGCCCUCCAUUUAGGAAUGAACUUUUUUUCUCAAAACUCAUUGUCUCUAUGCAGAAUGCCAUUUCUAGCAAGAAUAAGCAUUCAGAAGCACCAAGAAGAGGGAGAUGAGCUACAUUUUCCCUCUAAACGUGUUCUUCACAGCUUCAGAUAAACCCAAGUCCACUUGUGGCCAGCACUGCACAAGAGAUCUCCUUUGUUCAGUUCUGUGCUGGACUUCUACAACCAGUGUCAUUGAUAACCUUGUUAUUUCCCAGUCUCACAUCUGCUUAUCUGCGUAGGUUUGCUGAAUGCUCGCUUCCUCAACAAAGUAAGUGUCCUUGUGUGGUUGAAGAGAAGGCACAACACUUCCAACUUUGUCCUCAUUUGGAUAGAUUAUCCUUGUACAACUCUAACAAGCAAAAUUUUCAAACGUUAGGGUAUAACUGUGUAUGUUCUGGGUGUGGUGAGCUGGUGAAUUAAAACAAAACAAAACAAAAAAA